UACGUAGGGUGCGAGCGUUGUCCGGAAUUAUUGGGCGUAAAGAGCUCGUAGGCGGUGUGUCACGUCGGCCGUGAAAACCUGCAGCUUAACUGUGGGCGUGCGGUCGAUACGGGCAUCACUGGAGUUCGGCAGGGGAGAGUGGAAUUCCUGGUGUAGCGGUGAAAUGCGCAGAUAUCAGGAGGAACACCGGUGGCGAAGGCGCUCAUCUGGCCCAAUACUGACGCUGAGGCGCGAAAGCUAGGGGAGCAAACGGG
rnacentral:rRNA from 1 species